AUUGAACGCUGGCGGCAUGCCUUACACAUGCAAGUCGAACGGCAGCACGGGGGCAACCCUGGUGGCGAGUGGCGAACGGGUGAGUAAUAUAUCGGAACGUGCCAUAGAGUGGGGGAUAACUAGUCGUAAGAUUAGCUAAUACCGCAUACGAUCUACGGAUGAAAGUGGGGGAUCGCAAGACCUCAUGCUCUGUGAGCGGCCGAUAUCUGAUUAGCUAGUUGGUGGGGUAAAGGCCCACCAAGGCGACGAUCAGUAGCUGGUCUGAGAGGACGACCAUCCACACUGGGCCGGAGACACGGCCCAAACUCCUACGGGAUGCAGCAGUGGGGAAUUUUGGACAUUGGGGGCAACCCUGAUUCAGCAAUGCCGCGUGUGUGAAGAAGGCCUUCGGGUUGUAAAGCACUUUUGGCGUGAACGAAACGGUUGGGGCUAAUAUCCCUUGCUAAUGACGGUACCCGCAGAAUAAGCACCGGCUAACUACGUGCCAGCCGCCGCGGUAAGAC
rnacentral:rRNA from 1 species